AAAAAAAAAAAAAAAAAAAAGAUCGAUGCUAUCAUUUUAUGAGAGCGUACUUUGAUCAGCCACUCCAUUACCCUGGCUGACAACCGACCGCACGUGAUAAAAUAGCUAAACAUUUCCACACCUCCUCUCAGCCGGCUGUCCUUCCAUCCACGUUCACCCAAUGAAAAAACUGCUGUGGGAAUCACGGAUUUGCAGAUCCCUCAAGCACUAUAGAUUCACUGAAUACUGUCCUUUUUGUAACUGUUUCUGCAGAGAACUGAGAGAGGAAGAUAACUUGUAAAUCAGAUGUGUUAACCUCAACCCCCCCCCCGUUUUUUUUCCUGGCAGCACCCGCAGCAUAUGGAAGUUCCUGGGUCAGAUCCUUCACCCACUGCGAGGGGUAUUGAGCCCUUGCUGCCACAGAGGCAAUUCCAGAUCCUUAACCCACUAUGCUGCAGAGGGAACUCCAAUCUCACCCUCUAGCCAGGUUCUGUUUAAAUGUUCCAGUGAGUUCCAGCUAUGCUAAGGGACUAAGAGAAGCGUGUCCUAACUCGGGAAGUUGGAGCGUGGCAGCCACAGAACAAUAAGAGCUCCCUAAGGGGAAGGCGCUUCCAGGAAUAGAGCUGAGGACGCGGAGAUCCAGCUACCCCGUCCCUAGGCCGCCAGCAUGUGAUUAUGAAGAGCUGGCAGCGCUGUCCUUGCUCUCGGGUAAUUUGGGGAUGGGCGUGGAGGCGGGGGAGCAGCCUGUGAUGUGUUUAGGCGGAGGCAGGGGGCUUGGGUUUGAGUUCCUCCUCUGAUACUUACCAGAAACGUGAUACUGAGCAAUUAUCUUGAUCCGUGGAGUCUUGCUCUCUCCACUUGUGGAAACAGCAUCAUUUAUAGCAUCUUAAAUUGCAUGUUGUCUGUUGUCCUUUUUUUUUUUUUUCUGGUCUCUGUUUCCAGAAAUUCAGGUUUUUGAGCUCCUUAUCUAGCUGGAGGUUUGUGGUGCAGGACUGAAAGCAGAGUUUGGCUGAAUCCAAAUCCACCGUCUUGGACUUUAUUUUUGAAAGCUUGAAGUCACUUCAUCUGAGCUGGUGCCUGGAGGAUGGGGUGUCGCCUAGUUUGUCACGGAGGAGACAGAGACCUUAAUACACCGAGGGGCGAGAAUUGAAGAGUGCUGCAGGGAUCCUGUGUCAACUCGGUCUUGCCUCCGCCGUCUGGCCCAUCACAGCUGCAGAAAAAGAAUUCCUGCCAUGACGCAGUGCGUUGGGAAUUCGAUUGCCGCGGCUUAGCUCACUGUGGAGGUGAGGGUUCAAUACCUGGACAGGCAGGGCGUUAAAGGAGCUGGCAUUGCCACUCUGUGGUGUAGGUCCCAGCUGCAGCUCAGAUUCCAUCCCUGGCCCAAGAACUUCCAUACGCAGCCAUAAAAAAAAAAGGCGAUGAAGUUAAUACUUUUAAUUUGUUGUAUGUAACCAACAUAUUAAAAAUACUAUCACUGUAAUCAAUAAAAAUGUGACAUCGUAAAAGAAAGA